rnacentral:rRNA from 1 species
GAUGAACGCUGGCGGCGUGCCUAAUACAUGCAAGUCGAGCGAACAGACGAGGAGCCUGCUCCUCUGACGUUAGCGGCGGACGGGUGAGUAACACGUGGAUAACCUACCUAUAAGACUGGGAUAACUUCGGGAAACCGGAGCUAAUACCGGAUAAUAUAUUGAACCGCAUGGUUCAAUAGUGAAAGACGGUUUUGCUGUCACUUCUAGAUGGAUCCGCGCCGCAUUAGCUAGUUGGUAAGGUAACGGCUUACCAAGGCAACGAUGCGUAGCCGACCUGAGAGGGUGAUCGGCCACACUGGAACUGAGACACGGUCCAGACUCCUACGGGAGGCAGCAGUAGGGAAUCUUCCGCAAUGGGCGAAAGCCUGACGGAGCAACGCCGCGUGAGUGAUGAAGGUCUUCGGAUCGUAAAACUCUGUUAUUAGGGAAGAACAAAUGUGUAAGUAACUAUGCACGUCUUGACGGUACCUAAUCAGAAAGCCACGGCUAACUACGUG